rnacentral:rRNA from 1 species
AUGGAAGAUACCGGUUCUGAGUUCUCCUUGUAUGAUUUCUCACAAAUCGCAGAUGCUACAGACAACUUCUCACCCGGCAAAAUAUUAGGACAGGGUGGCUUUGGGCCCGUUUACAAAGGAAUUUUUCCUGACGGACAAGAAGUAGCGAUUAAAAAACUCGCUGCACGGUCAAGACAAGGUCUAGUGGAAUUCAAAAAUGAGAUCCAACUGGUAGCAAAACUUCAGCACAGACACCUUGUUAGGCUGCUGGGUUGUUGCAUCCAUGACGAAGAGAAGAUUCUGAUCUAUGAAUACAUGUCAAACAAAAGCUUGGACUACUUCAUUUUCGAUCCAAACAGGAGGACAUCAUUAAACUGGAUGAUACGACUUAAAAUAGUUGAAGGAAUAGCCCAAGGGCUUCUAUACCUUCAUGAGCAUUCACGACUACGUAUCAUCCAUAGGGAUCUGAAAGCAAGCAAUAUUCUGUUAGACUCUGAGUUAAAUCCUAAGAUUUCUGAUUUUGGCAUGGCAAGGAUAUUUCCGUCAGAUGCCACUCAAACAAAAACAAGCAGGCUUGUUGGAACAUAUGGUUACAUGGCUCCUGAGUACGCAUUUGAGGGCCUCCUUUCGAUCAAGUCAGAUGUUUUCAGUUUUGGGGUAUUGCUUCUUGAGAUUAUAAGUGGAAAGAGGAGUGCAGGAUUUCAGCAUUAUGGAGAAGGAGAAUUUCACAAUCUUCUUCAAUAUGCAUGGCAGAUGUGGGAAGAAGAAAGAUGGCAUGAAUUCAUUGAUCAAUCAAUUGGUGAUGAAUAUGAACCAGGAGACAUGAUGAAAUAUCUCAGGUUGGCACUGAUGUGUGUCCAAGUAAAAGCAGUAGACCGUCCCACUAUGUCUGAUAUUGUUGCAAUGCUUAGCAGUGACGACAUCACUGUACCAGAGCCAAGGCAACCAGCUUACUCCUAUACCAGAGUAGAUGUGUCAGUGAACAUCAAUUUAUCAUGCACCAGAAAUGAUAUAACCCUCACCACUACUGAUGGUAGAUAA